GGGCCCAUAGCUUAGAGGAAAAGCGUUGGUAUGGCAUACCAAAGAUCGAGGGUUCAAGUCCCUCUGGGU
rnacentral:tRNA from 1 species